UCCGUAGGUGAACCUGCGGAAGGAUCAUUACGAAAUUAUAGGCCGGUCUGACCGGUUCUAUUCUACCCUGUUUUUUGCGCACCUUUUGUUUCCUCGGUGGGCUUGCCUGCCGAUAGGACAAUUUCAACUCUUCAUAGUUUUUAGCAAUCAGCUUCAAAAUUUACUAAAUUGUAACAACUUUCAACAACGGAUCUCUUGGUUCUGGCAUCGAUGAAGAACGCAGCGAAAUGCGAUAAGUAGUGUGAAUUGCAGAAUUCCGUGAAUCAUCGAAUCUUUGAACGCACAUUGCGCCUAUUGGUAUUCCAAUAGGCAUGCCUGUUCGAGCGUCAUUUAAAUCUUCAAGCCUUGCUUGGUGUUGGGUGCUGUCUCGGCGAAUUCCCCUUUUUUGGGGGGGGUUUUC
rnacentral:misc_RNA from 1 species